rnacentral:rRNA from 1 species
UACGUAGGGUGCAAGCGUUGUCCGGAAUUAUUGGGCGUAAAGAGCUCGUAGGCGGUUUGUCGCGUCUGCUGUGAAAACUGGGGGCUCAACCCCCGGCCUGCAGUGGGUACGGGCAGACUAGAGUGCGGUAGGGGAGAGUGGAAUUCCUGGUGUAGCGGUGGAAUGCGCAGAUAUCCGGAAGAACACCGGUGGCGAAGGCGGUUGGCUGGGCCGUGGCUGACACUGAGGCGCGACAGCGUGGGGAGCAAACAGG